rnacentral:rRNA from 1 species
UACGUAGGGGGCGAGCGUUGUCCGGAUUCAUUGGGCGUAAAGAGCUCGUAGGCGGUUUGUCGCGUCUGCUGUGAAAACUCGGGGCUUAACUCCGGGCCUGCAGUGGGUACGGGCAGACUAGAGUGCGGUAGGGGAGACUGGAAUUCCUGGUGUAGCGGUGAAAUGCGCAGAUAUCAGGAGGAACACCGGUGGCGAAGGCGGGUCUCUGGACAGUUCCUGACGCUGAGGCACGAAGGUCAGGGGAGCAAACGGG